rnacentral:rRNA from 1 species
GACGAACGCUGGCGGCGUGCUUAACACAUGCAAGUCGAACGAGAAAGCCCUUCGGGGUGAGUACAGUGGCGAACGGGUGAGUAACACGUGGGCAACCUGCCCCAAGGAGCGGGACAACCCGGGGAAACUCGGGCUAAUACCGCAUGAUUCGCACAGUCUCAAGUCUGUGCGGCAAAUGGUAGCUUCGGCCUCCGCCUUGGGGAUGGGCCCGCGGCGCAUUAGCUUGUUGGUGGGGUAACGGCNCACCAAGGCGACGAUGCGUAGCUGGUCUGAGAGGACGAUCAGCCACACUGGGACUGAGACACGGCCCAGACUCCUACGGG